GAUGAACGCUAGCGGCAGGCCUAAUACAUGCAAGUCGAACGGUGUCUUCGGACAUAGUGGCGCACGGGUGCGUAACACGUAUGCAACCUACCUUACAUUGGGGGAUAGCCUUUCGAAAGGGAGAUUAAUACCGCAUAAGACAGUAGCUGGCCAUCCAGCAGCUGUUAAAGAUUUAUCGAUGUAAGCUGGGCAUGCGUCCAAUUAGCUAGUUGGUGAGGUAACGGCUCACCAAUGCAAUGAUUGGUAGGGGAACUGAGAGGUCAAUCCCCCACACUGGCACUGGGAUACGGGCCAGACUCCUACGGGAGGCAGCAGUAGGGAAUAUUGGGCAAUGGACGCAAGUCUGACCCAGCCAUGCCGCGUGCAGGAUGAAGGCGUUAUGCGUUGUAAACUGCUUUUAUACAGGAAGAAACGACUCUUGCGAGAGGCAUUGACGGUACUGUAUGAAUAAGCACCGGCUAACUCCGUGCCAUCAGCCGCCGUAAGAC
rnacentral:rRNA from 1 species